ACUCCUACGGGAGGCAGCAGUAGGGAAUCUUCCACAAUGGGCGCAAGCCUGAUGGAGCAACACCGCGUGAGUGAAGAACGGGUUUCGGCUCGUAAAGCUCUGUUGUUAAAGAAGAACACGUAUGAGAGUAACUGUUCAUACGUUGACGGUAUUUAACCAGAAAGUCACGGCUAACUACGUGCCAGCAGCCGCGGUAAUACGGUAGGUGGCAAGCGUUAUCCGGAUUUAUUGGGCGUAAAGAGAGUGCAGGCGGUUUUCUAAGUCUGAUGUAGAAAGCCUUCGGCUUAACCGGAGAAGUGCAUCGGAAACUGGAUAACUUGAGUGCAGAAGAGGUAGUGGAACUCCAUGUGUAGCGGUGGAAUGCGUAGAUAUAUGGAAGAACACCAGUGGCGAAGGCGGCUACCUGGUCUGCAACUGACGCUGAGAACUCGAAAGCAUGGGUAGCGUACAGGAUUAGAUA
rnacentral:rRNA from 1 species